CAUGCAUUGGUCCAUGGCUGAAUUGAAGAACAGAUGUAGCAGUUUUUGGUUGAGGCCGUUAGUUUCUUUGACAGAUUCAAACAUAGGGAUGCAAGUAGCAACUUUUGAUGAUAGUUUAGGGAUGUUUUUUGUUCAUUAUGUAGUAUAAGAAUGUAGUUUAAGUUUGAGGUAUAAAUGAGGGAUGUUUUUGGCUAUUUACUCUCUAGAGAUUUACUUUGGAAAGACAUUAUU
rnacentral:lncRNA from 1 species